rnacentral:lncRNA from 1 species
GCUCAGUCGCGCCACACCCCGACGGUCGCCAGCAUCCCUCUAGCAGUUGCUAGCCCCUCGCAGUCAGACAACCGAACCUCCCUGAAGAAGAUGAACAGUGUCGCAUACAAGGGCCAGAACCGAGAAAAAAAAAAACUUGUGAGGACAAUUUCGGACAAAAAAAUAUAAAUAGUGCCUCAUGAGCAUGCCGAAAAAGCCGAAAGCCAAGGCAGGUCACCUGCCUUGGACUUUCGGCUUCACAAAGCUGGCAUUUGGGGAAUGGGGGCUCAAAAAAUUUUGCCAAACGGGCUAGCAUUUGCCCAAGGACCUUUAGGCCUCCAAAGGGCUUUGGGAGGUGGUUCCCAAAUGGAGCCUAUGUUGUUUAGGCAUAAUGCAUUACUAGUAAAUCCAAAUGUUAAUACUGCAAUGCCAUAAAAUGCAUGCAAAU